AUUGAACGCUGGCGGCAGGCCUAACACAUGCAAGUCGAGCGGAGCGGCGGACGGGUGAGUAAUGACUAGGAAUCUGCCUGGUAGUGGGAGAUAGCGUACGGAAACAGACGCUAAUAACGCAUACUAGCAAUUGAGCCUAGGUAGGAUUAGCUAGUUGGUGGGUUAGAGGCCUACCAAGGCGACGAUCCGUCACUGGUCUGAGAGGAUGAUCAGUCACACUGGAACUGAGACACGGCCCAGACGCCUACGGGAGGCAGCAGUGGGGAAUAUUGCACAAUGGGCGCAAGCCUGAUCCAGCCAUGCCGCGUGUGUGAAGAAGGUCUUCGGAUUGUAAAGCACUUUAAGUUGGGAGGCGUUACCAACAGAAUAAGCACCGGCUAACUUCGUGCCAGCAGCCGCGGUAAUAC
rnacentral:rRNA from 1 species